AUUGAACGCUGGCGGCAUGCCUAACACAUGCAAGUCGAGCGGAUGAAGAGAGCUUGCUCUCUGAUUCAGCGGCGGACGGGUGAGUAAUGCCUAGGAAUCUGCCUGGUAGUGGGGGACAACGUUUCGAAAGGAACGCUAAUACCGCAUACGUCCUACGGGAGAAAGCAGGGGACCUUCGGGCCUUGCGCUAUCAGAUGAGCCUAGGUCGGAUUAGCUAGUAGGUGAGGUAAAGGCUCACCUAGGCGACGAUCCGUAACUGGUCUGAGAGGAUGAUCAGUCACACUGGAACUGAGACACGGUCCAGACUCCUACGGGAGGCAGCAGUGGGGAAUAUUGGACAAUGGGCGAAAGCCUGAUCCAGCCAUGCCGCGUGUGUGAAGAAGGUCUUCGGAUUGUAAAGCACUUUAAGUUGGGAGGAAGGGCAGUAAGUUAAUACCUUGCUGUUUUGACGUUACCAACAGAAUAAGCACCGGCUAACUUCGUGCCAGCAGCCGCAGUAAAAC
rnacentral:rRNA from 1 species